GGCGAACGGGUGAGUAAUGCAUCGGAACGUGCCCAGUCGUGGGGGAUAACGCAGCGAAAGCUGCGCUAAUACCGCAUACGAUCUAUGGAUGAAAGCGGGGGACCGUAAGGCCUCGCGCGAUUGGAGCGGCCGAUGUCAGAUUAGGUAGUUGGUGGGGUAAAGGCUCACCAAGCCAACGAUCUGUAGCUGGUCUGAGAGGACGACCAGCCACACUGGAACUGAGACACGGUCCAGACUCCUACGGGAGGCAGCAGUGGGGAAUUUUGGACAAUGGGCGCAAGCCUGAUCCAGCAAUGCCGCGUGCAGGAAGAAGGCCUUCGGGUUGUAAACUGCUUUUGUACGGAACGAAACGGUCCUGGUUAAUACCUGGGGCUAAUGACGGUACCGUAAGAAUAAGCACCGGCUAACUACGUGCCAGCAGCCGCGGUAAUACGUAGGGUGCAAGCGUUAAUCGGAAUUACUGGGCGUAAAGCGUGCGCAGGCGGUUUUGUAAGACAGUCGUGAAAUCCCCGGGCUCAACCUGGGAAUUGCGAUUGUGACUGCAAAGCUGGAGUGCGGCAGAGGGGGAUGGAAUUCCGCGUGUAGCAGUGAAAUGCGUAGAUAUGCGGAGGAACACCGAUGGCGAAGGCAAUCCCCUGGGCCUGCACUGACGCUCAUGCACGAAAGCGUGGGGAGCAAAC
rnacentral:rRNA from 1 species